GGUUCGCGCUCCACCUACGCCGCCGGCCGGAGGGGGCCGCGGCGGCGGCCGUGCAGCCCGGCGACCAGGAGCUCGUCGGCGCGGUUCCCUCGACGGAUGGAUGCCUGCUCGCGCUCACGGAGGCCGAGGCGGCCGCGCUGCUCUGGUUCGCAUUCCUAGAGUUCGCGGAGCCUGACGCCACUACUUCCUUCCCAUCCCCCGCCCCGUUCCUCUCUCUCUCCUGGCUGAGCCUGACGCCACCACUGCUCCCCUCCUCAAGGUCGCGUUCUUCCUACCCAAGAUGCAGCCGCUCGUCGCGAUGAAGACCUGAGUCCACGUCGUCGUGGAGGCCAUCCACUCAUCUCGAGCCCAAGCCGUCAUUGCUCGGUUGGCUCCUGUCCAUGCCUCGCGCUUCUGGCAGCUCCUCGAGGUCGUCGUGCCCUACUCCAGGGCCUCCAUGGCACAGCUACUCGGCAAGUUGCCCCUGCAGUUCACAAGCAAGCAGGUCGUAGAGGACAUGUCACUGGCUAUGUUCAACCGUGCCCUAAAGCUUUAUGGACCAGGUCUACAAGUCAGGGGUGUUGGAUUUACUGGGUCACUCGCUAGCUCAUGCCCAAAACAUGGUGACCACAGGGAUCCAACCACAACUACAUCAUGGAAGGGGCCAAGGAUCAGCGACCCUAUACACAUCAGCAAUGACAAAGAGAACUGCUGCCACAAGAAAUAAACAGUGGUGGUCUUUUCAGAGAACUACAGUCGCAAGAAAAAGACCUAGAGUUUCAGUUGCAUGAAGCAAUCCAUGCUUGUGGUGUGAUAUUACCUUUGACAGAAGGGAAUAGUUCUAAACCAUCGGCUUCAGUUGGCAUGUUACCUGAGGUCAUACUUCCCAUUACAGGCCGACGAGACGGCAGAUUCGGUUAGUGAGAAGAUCGUCCAAAAGAACAUCGUCGAGAAAGACGAGCUGAUGCAAAGAGGUUUGAACCAUUUGUUCAUGUUAUUGCCCCAGUGAGUGCGGGCAAGAAAGGCAGGAAGAAGUAAUCCCUUCUGUUAGCUUCUCGUGGCCAGGGGCGCAAUGUACGUGGAGGUGUUCAAUAGAGGGGAAAUUCUGCCGCCCUACAGCAUCAGGAAGAGGAACAGCAGGACCAGGCUGCGCUUCACCUAUAACGAUGGCAUCUGCUUGAACUCAGUUAACUGAACUCCAUAACUGAGGCUAUGUUUAUUCUGUGCCUUUGAAGAUGUAUAGCGGUGGUGCAUACGAACUAAUCUUCCUGUUCGUACUCCUACAUUGCAUAUCUGAACUUGGCCAAGAAUGGCCCAAUGCUUCUCUUGCCUCAGAGGCAUGGUGACCUGCUCUGCCUCCCCCUAAUUUCUAUCUUCCACUCCUUUAUGCCCUUCUGCUGAUUGAUUUGAUGUGCCCUGCUAUCAUGCUUCUUGGGUCAAGUUACUUAGUUUUUGGAGCUCUUGCUUUUUUUACCUCUUUGUUAUGUUCUAUGUCUUCCAGAUAUA